rnacentral:rRNA from 1 species
AUUGAACGCUGGCGGCAUGCUUUACACAUGCAAGUCGAACGGCAGCACGGGGGCAACCCUGGUGGCGAGUGGCGAACGGGUGAGUAAUGCAUCGGAACGUACCCAGUCGUGGGGGAUAACGCAGCGAAAGUUGUGCUAAUACCGCAUACGACCUGAGGGUGAAUGUGGGGGACCGGUAACGGCCUCACGCAAUUGGAGCGGCCGAUGUCUGAUUAGCUAGUUGGUGGGGUAAAGGCCCACCAAGGCGAGGGGCAGUAGCGGGUCUGAGAGGAUGAUCCGCCACACGGGGACUGAGACACGGCCCAGACUCCUACGGGAGGCAGCAGUGGGGAAUUUUGGACAAUGGGGGCAACCCUGAUCCAGCCAUGCCGCGUGCGGGAAGGAGGCCUUCGGGUUGUAAACCGCUUUCGGACGGAAAGAAAUCGCACGGGCCAAUACCCUGUGUGGAUGACGGUACCGUAAGAAGAAGCACCGGCUAACUACGUGCCAGCAGCCGCAGUAAAAC